UACGUAGGGGGCGAGCGUUGUCCGGAAUUACUGGGCGUAAAGCGUGCGCAGGCGGUUUUGUAAGCCAGAUGUGAAAUCCCCGGGCUUAACCUGGGAAUGGCAUUUGGGACUGCAAGGCUCGAGUGCGGCAGAGGAGACUGGAAUUCCUGGUGUAGCAGUGAAAUGCGUAGAUAUCAGGAGGAACACCGAUGGCGAAGGCAGGUCUCUGGGCUGACACUGACGCUCAUGCACGAAAGCGUGGGGAGCAAACAGG
rnacentral:rRNA from 1 species